UAGUAGAUCACAAUGGUGUAUGC
rnacentral:siRNA from 1 species